rnacentral:rRNA from 1 species
GAGAGGAAAGCGGGGGACCUUCGGGCCUCGCGCUAGUGGAUGAGCCUACGUCCGAUUAGCUGGUUGGUGGGGUAAAGGCCCACCAAGGCGACGAUCGGUAGCUGGUCUGAGAGGACGACCAGCCACACUGGGACUGAGACACGGCCCAGACUCCUACGGGAGGCAGCAGUGGGGAAUAUUGGACAAUGGGCGCAAGCCUGAUCCAGCAAUGCCGCGUGGGUGAAGACGGCCUGCGGGUUGUAAAGCCCUUUAGGCGGGGAGGAACGGCGUCGCGCGAACAGUGCGGCGCUCUGACGUUACCCGCGGAAUAAGCACCGGCUAACUCCGUGCCAGCAGCCGCGGUAAUACGGAGGGUGCGUGCGUUAAUCGGGAUUACUGGGCGUAAAGCGUGCGUAGGCGGUUCGGU